rnacentral:lncRNA from 1 species
GCCGCGGCUGCUGGGGCCGACGACGAUGGUCACGCGGCAAGUCGCCUCCUCCUCCUCUCUCCUACCUUCCAAUCUUCCAUGCGGGUCUCUGGCCUCAAUCGUCGGGUGGUGAGGUAUGUUCAUCGCCGGAGCAGGCGGAGCUCCCGUCGUCGGUGAUCUGCGACCUGCCGAGUGCCGACCUGGUCUUCCUCUCCCGCCUUCCUGCGUCGACCUCCACCCCGUGCUUGUCCACCGCGGUCGCCCGGAGAUGGCGAGAUCAACUUCUGACUGCUUUGCGUCGGCGUUGAGCAACAGGCCUUCACAGGCCACGUCACCUUUCUCUUCGGCAAGGUCAACAAACACCUCGGCCCCUCUCAGGCUCUCAGCAAUACAAGGUCAACAACCAUAAUAUGCCCUUGAUUUGUCUGUGUCUUAAUUUUUGAUUUGUGCAAUACAAGUAUAAAUUGUUGAUUAUGGAAUUUUAUGCAUAGUCAAUGUCUUAAUUUUUAUAUAGAAAUAUGAUCCACAGCUAUAUUUUCAGAUCUCAAAAUAAAAGAGAAAUAAUGUCCAUGCCCUUGAUUUCAAGGCUUUUUCUGGAAAGAGCGGGUUCAAAAAAGACAACUUAAAAUGAAAUUAAGAUGAAACUCAAGGUGGGGCAAUCUUACUGACGAUCCUUUACAUGUUUUGUAUGUUCCAAUUUCUAUACGAUCAAUUCAACUAAAUAUGAUUUUAUACUCAAUUUUGUGC